UACAAUCGACAAGGGUGGGAGGUCUAGGGUCAACCCCGCCCCGCCCCGGGAAGGGGGGUUCAGGGGACCCACGCUCAGUAAUGAUCCUUCCGCAGGU
rnacentral:rRNA from 1 species